rnacentral:rRNA from 1 species
AAUAAACCCGAAAAACUGGGAAAAUACCCGAUAGAUCUCGGCUGCUGGAAUGCACCGAGUUCUAAAGCUCCGGCGCUCAAGGAUGGAUCUGCGGCCUAUCAGGUAGUAGUGGGUGUAGCGUACCUACUAGCCUACGACGGGUACGGGUUGUGAGAGCAAGAGCCCGGAGAUGGAUUCUGAGACACGAAUCCAGGCCCUACGGGGUGCAGCAGGCGCGAAAACUUUACAAUGCUGGAAACAGCGAUAAGGGGACCUCGAGUGCCAGGUUACAAAUCUGGCUGUCGUGAUGCCUAAAAAGCAUUGCAUAACAAGGGCCGGGCAAGACCGGUGCCAGCCGCCGCGGUAACACCGGCGGCUCGAGUGGUAACCGUUAUUAUUGGGUCUAAAGGGUCUGUAGCCGGCCGGAUAAGUCUCUUGGGAAAUCUGGCAGCUUAACUGUCAGGCUUUCAGGAGAUACUGUCUGGCUCGAGGCCGGGAGAGGUGAGAGGUACUUCAGGGGUAGGGGUGAAAUCUUGUAAUCCUUGAAGGACCACCAGUGGCGAAGGCGUCUCACCAGAACGGACCUGACGGCAAGGGACGAAAGCUAGGGGCACGAACCGGAUUAGAUACCCGGGUAGUCCUAGCCGUAAACGAUACUCGCUAGGUGUCGGCCACGGUGCGACCGUUGUCGGUGCCGUAGGGAAGCCGUGAAGCGAGCCACCUGGGAAGUACGGCCGCAAGGCUGAAACUUAAAGGAAUUGGCGGGGGAGCACCACAACGGGUGGAGCUUGCGGUUUAAUUGGAUUCAACGCCGGAAAUCUUACCGGGACCGACAGCAAUAUGAAGGCCAGGCUGAAGACUUUGCCGGAUUAGCU